UAGGGAAUCUUCGGCAAUGGACGAAAGUCUGACCGAGCAACGCCGCGUGAGUGAAGAAGGUUUUCGGAUCGUAAAACUCUGUUGUUAGAGAAGAACAAGGACGUUAGUAACUGAACGUCCCCUGACGGUAUCUAACCAGAAAGCCACGGCUAACUACGUGCCAGCAGCCGCGGUAAUACGUAGGUGGCAAGCGUUGUCCGGAGUUAUUGGGCGUAAAGCGAGCGCAGGCGGUUUCUUAAGUCUGAUGUGAAAUCCCACGGCUCAACCGUGGAGGGUCAUUGGAAACUGGGAGACUUGAGUGCAGAAGAGGAGAGUGGAAUUCCAUGUGUAGCGGUGAAAUGCGUAGAUAUAUGGAGGAACACCAGUGGCGAAGGCGGCUCUCUGGUCUGUAACUGACGCUGAGGCUCGAAAGCGUGGGGAGCAAACAGG
rnacentral:rRNA from 1 species